rnacentral:rRNA from 1 species
UACAGAGGUCUCAAGCGUUGUUCGGAUUCAUUGGGCGUAAAGGGUGCGUAGGUGGCGCCGUAAGUCAGGUGUGAAAUUUCGGAGCUUAACUCCGAAACUGCAUUUGAUACUGCGGUGCUUGAGGACUGGAGAGGAGACUGGAAUUCACGGUGUAGCAGUGAAAUGCGUAGAUAUCGUGAGGAAGACCAGUGGCGAAGGCGGGUCUCUGGACAGUUCCUGACACUGAGGCACGAAGGCCAGGGGAGCAAAUGGG